UACGGGGGGGGCAAGCGUUGUUCGGAAUUACUGGGCGUAAAGGGCUCGUAGGCGGCCAACUAAGUCAGACGUGAAAUCCCUCGGCUUAACCGGGGAACUGCGUCUGAUACUGGAUGGCUUGAGUUUGGGAGAGGGAUGCGGAAUUCCUGGUGUAGCGGUGGAAUGCGCAGAUAUCAGGAGGAACACCGGUGGCGAAGGCGGGUCUCUGGGCAGUAACUGACGCUGAGGAGCGAAAGCGUGGGGAGCGAACAGG
rnacentral:rRNA from 1 species